ensembl:lncRNA
AUUGCACAAACCCCAUCAGCUUUUAUUCUCACCCUCCACAUAUGAUUGUAUAAUUCUGAAUGCCUUCAAAAUUCGUUCACAUCUGUUCACUGAUCAGUACCUUUCAAAAAUAACAUCCAGUAAAUGUCUUGUUUGGCAUAUUACCUUUAUACAUCAUUUGGACUUAUUUGGUGCUUUAAAGGACUAGCACAAGUGAGUCUUACAAGACAAAGAGGAUUGUUAUGUGGCUUUUGUCUGUUAACAGGAGAGACUGGACAUACAGAACAAUAUUACAGCUAUUGAGACAUCAAGGAUCUGUGAGAUCCCAAUGGAAUUUACCCCUAAAUUAGCCCUACCUGUGUUCAUCUGGACAACUCAAAAACAACCAAAAGUAUCCUAGGAGACAGAUGCUGAUCAACCAGACAACUUCAGAUCUUAAUUACUGACACAAAUAUCUGAUCUCAGCAGGCAAAUUGAUAGCUGAAUAAAUAUUGUUUGCAUAGAAUAUUUCUCAAUAACAAUGGUAAUAUGUGUUGAAGUACUUCUCUGCCCCCUUCUGUCCAUCUUGAAUCUGGUUGAUUUCCUGCUGCAUCCAUCAAUCUGCACUGUAAAAUCAUAUUCUUGUUUAGGUUAGUAAGAAAGCCCUUAAUUAUCCAGAACGUGUGUUCUGAGAGUUCAGUGAAAACAGAUUCUGAGUUAAGUAUUUCAAAGAAGAAAAUAAAUCUAAUUAAAUAGUAAUGCAAAAUAAAUUGAUGUAAGUAGGCCUAUGUUUAAGAACUAUUUAAAGAGUUUCAACUAACUGUUCAAAUCGUGCCUUUAAAGAUUAGUUUGGGUUAAUAUCCUAAGUAAGCAGUUCAGAAGUGAAUAACGAAACAGUCAUAUUACAAACCAGCAUCUAUAUUAUAUGUCGCAGACUUUAGGCAAUCAUUGCAUGUGAAACAUGUGCAUACUUUACUGACAACAGCACCUGUUUGAAGUGUGAUCCUCAGAUAACUACUGAACACGAACAAAUCACAGGUUCGUCCAUCUGAGGUGAAGCAUAGAACCAGAAAAGGAACCAGGUAAGCCAAGUUCAGCCGGCUCGCAAUUAGAUGUGGUAAAUAUUUUUGCCCUUGAUGGACUCUAAACCGGGGGCCUGUUGCACAAUAGUAGAAUGAAGAAAUCCAGGAUAACGCGCAUCGCGGCGUAAUCGGUUGCACGUUUACCAAGCCAGGAUGAGAAGGUGAAGCUAUGUCAAGCCAGGUGUAGAUAGUGGGGAUAAGUGCACUUUCUUAAACAGACCACGGUAUCGAUCACAGAUUUACUGAUGCAGAGAUGGAGAAGACGCGUGCGGCAUAUUUUUCACCCGCUGAGCAGCAAUUAUGGAAAGUUACGAGGAGGUAAAGCAUAUAAUAUGCAGAAAAGGAAAUACGGCUGCUGUUAUUAAACAGAGAGAAAAAGCAUGGCAGACAAUAGCGGACCGACUGAAUGCAACCAAUGUGACUGGGCAAAAAAAGAACCUGGCAACAAGUCAAGAUCAAAUACGAAAACAUUUUGCAGUCUGGUGGAAGGGGCUGCUGCAGCUGAGGAUGAGGAGACUGUGUCACUGGACUCCAGAAGGCCUGAGGUAUCAUGUCAAUCUUAUGGAAAUGCAUAUUUAGCACAUAAUGGAUGAGAAGUCAGUGAUGUAGCACUCAGAAAUUUAUGUAACAGGAUCCAAACGCAGUACAGUCUGACAGCCAGCCUGGCAACAUAGUAAGUAUGGGCUAAUGGGAAUCUAAAUUAUACACAAUUCCUGUUGUGUUAAUCAAUGGGUGGUUUACAGAAUUCACAAACUGUAAGAUGUCUGUAUACACGACAUCUGAAAAAGCAAAUGGAGCUGGCAGAUUGCUAGUUAGCAAAAGGACUCCCCAGGAUCUGGACCUUGGUAUAGAAAUCAAGAAACACUGAGGAAACUGGAUCUGGCGAUACAGAUACUAGAAAAAGUUAGUGACUUCAAUCCACACUGUAUGCAUAUCUGUAAAACAAUGUAUUAAUCGUGUUUUUCUUUUUCUCUCCCAAGCUCCAAACUGACAAGUGACAGCACUAAAAUAAAACGCUUAAGAAGCAUUGUGGUGUUCCCUGUGUGAUGAAUGUACACUACACUAUGCAAAGUUAUUGGUUCAGUGAGAUGAGAUGAAAAUUGAGGUUAUGAAACCAAAAUAAGCUACUAUAAUAUAGAAUAAAACAGGCCUAAUUAAGGAGUAACACAAACUAUCCUUUAUUAGAGCAGGACAAGACCAUGAAAUCACUCAUCUGAAAUAAUUAAUGUAUUGGUCUCUGACCAGCCUGCCAUUAAUGUCAUCUGGGAAUAUAGCUGCAUUGUCCCACUCAAUCUCUGGUGCCACUGCUGGACCCCUUUCCUUCCUCAGACAGGAAAUAUAAUGUAGGACCGUGCAGGCUACAGUGAUGUCACAGGCCCUGUCUGGGAUGGCCCUCAGGUGGUGGAGACACUGAAAUCGUGACUUGAGGAGGCCAAAUGCCAUUUCAAUUUGGGCCCUUGUUCUUGCAUGGGCAAGAUUGUAUCCUUGCUGUCUGAGGGUCUGCAAGGGGAGUGAGAAGGUAUGUCUCACAGGCAUAACCCUUGUCUCCCAGCAGAACGCCAGAGAAUGAACUUGAGAAUACAAAAUGUAAUCAUUAUAACUACACAAGUAAAACCUUUGAUGCAAUUGUG